UCCGGAUCGGGGCUCAGCGGCGGAGGAUUACCUCCUUGCCUAUCUGCUACACACCCGUCAUCGCGCUUCUCGCAGACAGGCGUCCUCUACUGUCCCCCGCCCUCUAAAGAACGCCCCACCGGCGCUGCGAGUCCUUUGCCUCGUGCGUGCCUGCACCGCAUCGGAGAGGCAUCCAAGCCGACCAUGUGGAACCUCUAUCAGCGAAAUCCCGGUCACCGGUCGGCUGAGGACGAUAGCGGCAGUGAGCUCGCCCUAGACUCGCUCCCGCACAGCCCCUUUCGUGUCGCCACGGCACCACAGGCAAGGAUUUCCCGACCCCACGUACCGUUUCGCCAGUGCCUUAUCGGUGCGGCUCUCAUUGCUGUGUCACUGACGCUCUUCGCGAGUCUUCGCAAGCUCCCCGACAUCCCCAGUGAGGACGCCAGCAUGGCAGAAACCGAGGCACCGCUGCCCCGAGCCGGCAGCCAACUUCCAGAGCCGCAGAACACUCUCACGAACGUGUCUCUUAUCAUGCCUCUCUUGCACGGUGGCGACCCCGGUUCCGGGAACACGACAGAAUACGUGCUCCUAAGCAACUUGCUCGGUCCGCUAGUGCAGUCUGAGGACGCCCUUUGCCAUCGUGGCGCCAACAGCGCACAGGCUCCUGCCUACCAGGUGCAUGCGGUGGUUGUAAGCGGGGCCGCUGCAGCCUCCUCUGUACUCGGUGGCGCGGUACGUGGCGUGCUGUCUGAUGGCGUGUUGCACAGCGGUGAUGUGCUUCCGCAGGGCCGCCCCCGUGAUGAGCUGACGCCUGCGCCGUCGUGGCGCGCGUGGGAGCUGAGCAUGGACGCCGUGCGCGCCGCUCUUGGCGGUGCCGCGCGUGGCGGUGCGCGGUGCCUCGGCGACCGUGUGACGCUGGUGGCACCUGCAGCGCCGGCGCCGGACACAACGGUGGAGGUGCUCGUGGACGCUGCACUGCGCACGCGUGGCGGCCGCGCCGGGUCGCACUUCGUUGUGCUGUCGUCGUUCCUUGGCGCGACGCGGAUGCCGUACACGGAGCCCGGCGACGCGCUGGAGACGCGCCACGAGGGCACUGGGCUGCUGGACGCGCUUGUGCGCACAGCAACGCAGCGCAACGGCGGCCGCGUCGCAGCUGCACAGUGCACUAUACUGCAGCACGGUGGCGACAGCGGCGGCUGGCGCUACCCACCGCCGCGGCUCACAGCAAGGGAGCUCGCUUCGCUGCGUGUCGUGGACAAGGGCGGGAUGACAGGGGCCACACACAACGGCGAGGUGCUGCUGCCGUACCUGACGCGGCGGCUGAGCGGGUACAGCGCUGCGGACCAGCGCGCAUCGUGGGAGGAGGUGGUGGACGCCGUGUCGCUGCACUGCGGCAUCUUCGACCGCCGUGUGUACGACGCUGUUGGCGGGCUUGCGGGCGCGCUGUCGGAGCCCGCUGUGAGGGACGCCGUGAGUGUGCGCGAUGACCACGCGAUGGGUGCCGUGGACCGUGGUGGGUGGGCACUGACGCUGCGGAUGCAGGAGGCGUACCCUGCGUGGCAGGUGUGGGGCAGUCGCGCUGCUGCGGUGGUGCGCGACGACGUUGCCGGCGUGCGUGCGCUCCCUGCCGUUGUUUCGCUGCAACGGCCUGUGUUCUCGCUGCUGGACCGGUACGGCCGCACCGCAUACAGUGUGGUGACGGAGCUGCAGCGCCGCCGCGUGGGAGUGCCGUGGCGUCUUCGUGGUGAGGACUCGCACCACUCUGCAGAGCGGACUGCUGUGGUGCAGAACUGCCUCCCGCCGGUGAUCCGGUACCACACGGACUUCAGCGCUCCCUGUAUCGGGCUGAACCGUGAGGCGAUGGCGUACAUCCGUCCGUUGAUGGAGCGCUACGGGAUCGGUGUGAUGGGGGGCGGGGGGCGCAGCUCAUGCCCGAAAUCCGGAGACGCGCUCCUUCAGCUUGCAUACGGGGGUGUGAGGGAUCUGUUCAGCAGCGUGUCGUCCCCGGCGACCCACAGCUUUUUCCGCGAUCGCCUGCGCCACCGCGCCCUCCUCGUCUUCCAACACUGGGGUGCGCUACAGUUCUUCCCAGUUCCCAAGCGCCGGUUCCAUGAGUGCCCAGAGGUGUACAUCGGGCACAGCAUGAGCGAGCUGUCCAACAUCCAGCAGAAGUGGAUAGUGCCGAUGCGGACACGUGCCGACGAGAUCUGGACGACGGCGGACUUCUUCGCCACCAUUUACCGCCGCAACGGUGUGAGCCCCGACAAGAUCCGCGUUGUGCCGGAGGCCGUGGAUGUGUACGAGUACGACCCGGCCAACUACGCACGGCAGCCCACGAUGAGUAGGUGCGCGAGCAUAUCGUCGUGCGACAACCGCCCGAGCUUGACAGAGGAGGAGCGGCUGCAGCGGUACGUGUUCUUCUCGAGCUUCAAGUGGGAGGACCGCAAGGGGUGGGACGUGCUGCUGAAGGCGUACUGGGCCGCGUUCGGUCCCUCUGCCCCGUCGCAGCUGCGUGAGCGCACGACGCUGGUGAUCAAGACACGCCUCACACGUCGCUAUUCUCCUGAGUUGUCUCGCGAUUCGGUCCUACACUUCAUUGAGACAUGGGGACGCGGCGGUGCGUUGCCGGGGAUGACGUCGAUGGCUGACUAUCCCCACAUCAUCAUUGUCACGGGCGAGGUGAGCGCGACUGAAGUUGUUCAGAUGUACGCGAACGCGGAUGCCUUUGUGCACCCGACGAAGGCGGAGGGGUGGGGCCUGCCUGCCGUGGAGGCGAUGGCGAUGGGGCUGCCGGUGCUUGUCACGGAGUGGGGCGGGCCGCUGCGGUUCAUGGAGCGCGACUCUUGCUUCCGCAUUCCUGUGGACGGGCUUGAAGAGAUCUCGCCAAAUUCGCCGUACGGGUACGAGGAGGGCAUGAAGAUGGCCAUCCCGAGUGUGGAGAAGACUGCGGAGCUGAUGCGGUACGUCGUGGAGCACCCGGAGCACGCGCGGCGCGUUGGUCGUCGUGCGCGUGAGUACGCUGUGCGUGAGCUGAGCGAGGAGGCUGUUGCGGACCGCAUGGACCGUCUGUUUGUGGACUCUGUGAUCGGGAGGCAGCGCGGCUGAGUCACGUGCGACUCGUUGGUUUCUCUUGGGUGUGUUGCGGAGUGCGUUGAGUUUCUGAUGAGGGUCGCACUGCUGUUGCCCUGCCGUUUAGGCUCGGUCUUUGCUCAAGGAGGCUGCGGGCGUGGUGACUUCCUCUGCUAUAUUGAUAGAGCAUCACGGCCUGUAAGGUUUCGUAUGUGUGCUGGUUUGGAGUCUGAUGUAUCUGCUUUCUAUGGCCCCUCCAGACUGGCAGACGUGCUUGGGUGUUUCUCUGUCUGUCCAACGCUGGCGGGCCUUGUGACAAUCAGCUGUGGAAGCAGCCUACUAUCUUGCCUAUCAGCACGUGACGAGUUAAUGAGCUAGCGGACACUGGGCCGAGGGAUUCAUGGGGCCUUGCGCCGGAGAUGGCCUGUGUCUGCGAAGCGGCCUUCACUGGAUAGCGGGAGCGCAGUGUUGAGCAGGCUACUCGUGGUUGCCGCUGCUGCGUGAAGAGGCGCCGCGGUGGAAAGGGUGAAGUGGUCGGAGACGCGGGGAGCACGGGUCCUUAGAGUGCGCUGCUGGCUUUGGCGUGUCUUGCCGCUUGCUGCUCCCCAAGCUUUUCUGCAUGCACCCUUACGAAUGCGCAGGAUGCCGGCUGCCUGAAACCCUACUAGCCACCAUGUGUGAUGGAUAUGGCUUCUGGUACCGCCUGUCACCCUCUUCCCUUGUUUUCUGCUCGUACUCUCCCUGUCACUUGUACCCUUCGGUGCGCGCACGGUGCGCUGGUGGAUAUCCUCUCACUGUGCGGCUUUUUCGUUUUUCGUAACGGUCUGAGCUCGUCCCUCACACCUCCCAUUCACUCCUUCCUCCCGUUGCUUGUUCUUCUUAUCGUCACGCGUUAG
rnacentral:misc_RNA from 1 species